GUAGAACUGCCGUUGAUACUGCUAGUCUUGAGUAUAGUUGAGGUAGCUGGAAUGAGUAGUGUAGCGGUGAAAUGCAUAGAUAUUACUCAGAACACCGAUUGCGAAGGCAGGUUACCAAGUUAUAACUGACGCUGAGGGACGAAAGCGUGGGGAGCGAACAGGAUUAGAUACCCUGGUAGUCCACGCCGUAAACGAUGCUAACUCGUUUUUGGGCUUUAGGGUUCAGAGACUAAGCGAAAGUGAUAAGUUAGCCACCUGGGGAGUACGACCGCAAGGUUGAAACUCAAAGGAAUUGACGGGGGCCCGCACAAGCGGUGGAUCAUGUGGUUUAAUUCGAUGAUACGCGAGGAACCUUACCAAGGCUUAAAUGGGAAUUGACAGCUGUAGAAAUACGGUUUUCUUCGGACAAUUUUCAAGGUGCUGCAUGGUUGUCGUCAGCUCGUGCCGUGAGGUGUUAGGUUAAGUCCUGCAACGAGCGCAACCCCUGUCACUAGUUGCCAUCAUUAAGUUGGGGACUCUAGUGAGACUGCCUACGCAAGUAGCGAGGAAGGUGGGGAUGACGUCAAAUCAUCACGGCCCUUACGCCUUGGGCCACACACGUGAUACAAUGGCCGUA
rnacentral:rRNA from 1 species